rnacentral:rRNA from 1 species
GACGAACGCUGGCGGCGUGCUUAACACAUGCAAGUCGAACGGAAAGGCCCCUUUGGGGGUCCUCGAGUGGCGAACGGGUGAGUAACACGUGAGUAACCUGCCCUUGACUUCGGGAUAACUUCAGGAAACUGGGGCUAAUACCGGAUAGGAAUCCUUGCUGCAUGGUGGGGGUUGGAAAGCUUCGGCGGUUUUGGAUGGACUCGCGGCUUAUCAGCUUGUUGGUGGGGUAGUGGCUUACCAAGGCUUUGACGGGUAGCCGGCCUGAGAGGGCGACCGGCCACAUUGGGACUGAGAUACGGCCCAGACGCCUACGGGAGGCAGCAGUGGGGAAUAUUGCACAAUGGGCGGAAGCCUGAUGCAGCAACGCCGCGGGCGGGAUGACGGCCUUCGGGUUGUAAACCGCUUUCAGCAGGGGCGAAGCUUGUGGUGACGGUACCUGCAGAAGAAGCACCGGCUAACUACGUG